rnacentral:rRNA from 1 species
UACGGAGGGUGCGAGCGUUAAUCGGAAUAACUGGGCGUAAAGGGCACGCAGGCGGGCUUUUAAGUGAGGUGUGAAAUCCCCGGGCUUAACCUGGGAAUAGCAUUUCAGACUGGGAGUCUAGAGUACUUUAGGGAGGGGUAGAAUUCCACGUGUAGCGGUGAAAUGCGUAGAGAUGUGGAGGAAUACCGAAGGCGAAGGCAGCCUUCUGGGGCAAUACUGACGCUCAUGUGCGAAAGCGUGGGUAGCAAACAGG